AGGAGUUCCUAUUAGAUGCCUUGCCUGAAGAGGGGCCAUGGCACUUUCUAAAGAUUUCUCUCCAGGGAUCCGUGGCUCAGCCUCAGCUCAGUAUAAUCAGCCCCAAGCUUGAAGACCUCCAGAAGUGCUGCCCGUGUUAGCUCCAUCAUUGUCAUUCCUUGAGGGCUUAAAGCCCAGUUCUCUACUUCACGCAGAGGACAGAAUGGUCUAGAUUGAGGGUGGGGGUGGUGCCAUGAGCUUCCUAGUCAAGAACAGCAGGGAAUGCCAGAGGGAGCUGGCGAGAAGUUCACGGCCUGCAGGGGCUGAGGGAAGGCCCUCCAUGUCCCCCGCAAGAGCAUGCUCCCCACUGAUACCCACCAAUGCAACCCUCCAAAGAGGUUACCUCUGGAGGUGGAUCAGCCUAAGGGAAUAAGGGAGUCUCGAAUCAAUGAAGACUCCAGCAUAGAGGCAAGAGGAACAACAGUUGAAAGAUCCAGGCCAACUUUGAAGAAGCAGAGAAUUAAAAAUAGCUGAGCUUUUCAUUUUUUUUCCUUUGGAGGGGGAGAGGGAAUUAGGAGGGUGCUGGAGCUGGACAGGAUACAAGAAAGAUUUGUUCUGCUUGUUCCAGGAAAAGGCAAGUGGGUGUGAAUUCAAUUUUCUGGAUCACUGCCUGGAGUGGUCACAUAUCACCACAGAUCAAGGAUUCUCUUGCCACCAGAAUUCUCUUUGCAGUAGGCACUCCCCCUCCCAGCCCUCUGUCCGCAGCUGUUACAACUCUGGUCUUCCCAGGGCCUGGACAUGCCCCUUUGCAGGAUUCAGUGGCACCACGUUGGCUGACACUUGAGGAAUUCACCUUUGGUCCCUACGUGCUGAAGGUAGCAUUAGAUUGGACACUGGGACUAGAGGGCAGCAGCAUAACCCCGGCCCAUCCCAGUCGUCAGAGUCAGCUUGGAGGACUCCAGAGGAGGUUGGAGCUGAGCGCUUGAAUCUAGAAGAGGGACACUAUUCAGCCCACGAAACCCUUUAAAGAGGCAAGUAGUUUCACUUGGGGCUUUGGCUUUUGUCUGGGACAGGAUGAGAAUGGAGCACGGAACAGCUCCUGAGGCUGAGGCAAAGGACGGUCUGCCAAGAAGACACUGGUCAGGAGGGAACAGGGAGGGUAGAAAUCCAGACAAGGUGUUGGCCAAGUGAAGCCAGCUUUUAGGCUAUGGGGUUGUGGGAAGGAAUUACAGAGAAGGAACUACUAUUUAUGAGGUCAUUAUUAUUAUGUGGUAGGCAGAGUGCCAGGGCUUUCCUGUAAUGAUAAUAGCUAACUUUUAAUGAGCACCUACUGUGUGUCAGGCACUUUCAGUACUCAAUCUCACUUAAUCCUCACAACUACUCUCUGAGUUUGACAUUAUUAUCUUCACUUUUACAUUAGGCAACAGAAGCUCAGAAAAGUUAAGUGACUUGCCCAAAGUUGCACAGCUGGUGCAGAACUGAGAUUUGAAUCUAGUUCUUACUGGCUUAUUAUACUACACAACCAUUCCUCAGUGCAAACUCCUCAGAAUCUUUGUCUCAGGAAAUACUCUAGGAAAAAAGAAUUUCUUUAUUGUAUUAGUUAGGACAGGAUAGGAUAAAUAUUGUAACAAACAGCCCCCAAAUCUCAGUGGUUUAAUGCAACCAACAAUUUCUCUUUUUAUCCACGUCACGAUCCAGUGCUGCUUGGAAAGAGUGAGGUUGGGCUGGGCUUGUGGGCUCUGAUCUACACAGUCAUCCAGGGACCCAAGCUUAUUUCAUAGUGUAGCUUGGCUAUCUUUCUGUCCCCGGAGUCUUUUACUGAAUGUUCUGCAUUCCACCAACAGGUGAGAGAAAAGAGAAAAGGUGGAGGAGGCAUACCCAUUCUUAUCUGCCUCAGCCUGGAGGGGACACACAGCACUUCUGCUCACAUUCCACAGCUAAGGGCUGAUCACCUCAUUGUAAGGGAGCCUGGGAGAUCUAAUUUGGUGGUGGGCCCUGUAAGAAGAGGAAAUACCUUCAGUGAGCAUCUGUACAGCCCCUGCCAGACUGACCCCAUAUUCUAUCUUGCAAUCCCCUGAAGUGUCAGCUCUGCUGAUUAUAGCGUGUGACCUUGGAUGGGUUACUUAGCCUCUGUGCCUCUAUUUUCUCAUCACUAGAAUGAACAGUUGCUUUUAUCUUAUGCGAUAAGGAUUACAAGAGGACUAAUACAUGUAAAGCACUUAGCUCUGAGCCUAGCACACAGUCAGUGCUUGAUAAAUGGCAUCUAGCCACAAACUCUAUUCUCUCCAUUUUUUGGAAGCCAUAAUGCAUAUUAGCAUAUUGGAGGUUCUGAGAAGUCUCAAAGUAAAAAGACUUCUUAUUUUUAAGUUUUGGUUAACCCAGCCUUUCCCAAAUAUAUUUGCCUGUAGAACCCUCUUUUUUCACAUUACACCUCUCAACAUCCAGUGGAAAGGACAUUCUCUGAAACAUGCUUUGGGAAACUCCACUUUUCUUCAGUGAAGGGCUCUAAUCAACUGUUCAGUGCUUUGGAGAUGUUUUCAUUUGAUAUUAUUGAUACUUUCUUUCCUAUUCAUUAUCUCCUAUUUGGAGGGCGGAUGGAGGGAGGUUCUUUUUUAAAAAUGCCAGCCUGUGUCAGCUGGGCUGCUGAGGACAGGGAAAAGGCACUGUGUCUUUGUUGGGGCUGGGGCUUUCUAAGAGGAGGAGCAGAAACUGGGCUGGUGGCUCUCGUGGCUGUGGGAUAAACAAGAAGAUGGAAGUCCAGAGGGACCAAGUCAGCCCUCUACUCUAACCUUCCAGUUCAAAGCUUGGAGGAUAAAAUCUCAAGAAUGCUAUGGAUCAUUCCACUGAUUCUAUUCUCCUCUUAAAUCUAUGAGUGGAGAUGGGAAAAUGUUCUCUUAUUAUCUGAGAAAGGCCAGCAAUGAACAAGGCACCAUACUAGGCUGGGGCUACCUGGUCCUCAUACUCCUUACACAUGGGCUAUAUGUAGCACAUCCUCUGCCAGCCACAGUGCCCUGAAUGUAGACUCGGGCAGUUCAUAAACAGCCACUGUCUCAGCUGAUUCUCAGGAAGGAGCCAUUGCUGUAUCUGAAUAGUUUGCUGCCUGCCGACCCUUUCUCAAGACUCCAGACCCAUCUCUCUGACUUCCUCUGUUGCCUGCCUGGCCCAGGGAAGGAGGCCCUCUCAUCUCACCAGAAAGCAGGGGUGGCUGAGAGCAGCUGUAGCUCUACUCUUACUGCUGCAGGCUGCCACCUGCUCACCAGGCCUCCCCAAAUGAAAGUGUAAUCCAAAUAAGGUACCUUUAAGCAGAAGCAGGCUCCAGGCCAACUCCCCCGCUCCCUUAACACACAUUCCAGAUCGCUGUCCCAAAACCCCUGCUACAUAAAAAUGGCUGGAACUUUGUUCCUUGUCUCCCUCCCUUUUUCCCUCCUCAUCACCCUUUGAGACUUUCUUGACUGGUAAUUAUCCUAGAGCAGACAAACCUAGGUCAAUGAAUGCUCAUGCUUCUUCAUCUAAGGGCUCUCACCGGCUGUGCCUCAUGCCCACAUGGGCCAGCACAUCUGCCCCUACCCCCAAGAGUGCUUCCUUUAGCAUCUCAGUGCAAGGCACCAGGUGGGAGGGAGAGAAGAGGAAGCAGGAGACAGUCUCAUUGCGGGAAGCUAAGAUCUACACACUGCAUGCACCUUGCCCUGCCUGGAUUUCUAACGUGAGCUUCCUGUUUAGCCUGAGAUGUUGAGAGGGUUGGAGACCGGGCCAUGGCAACCUGAAGCCUUUCCAUCCUUCCCCUGGCUGUUCUCGCUCAGGCCAGAGGCUCUCUGUUCAAACAUUCUUUUGGAGCAGAACAAUCUUCCAAGCAACUUCCAAGCAAUGUGAGUCUGGGAAGAGGCAUUCUCUAGAGGUGGCUCUGUCCUUUACCUGCUGGGUGGCAUUGGGAAAGCUACCUCUGUAUCCCAUCAGUGAAAUGGAACACAUAACGUUGGCCCUCAGGAGUUAGGUGGGUAUUUGAUAACCAAGGAGAGUAGUAUUAUUUCUGCUGUGCUCAGAGAUCAUAUCAAACAUGCAGCCUCUUUGCAGGGACCACGGUGCCAAAUCUGGCUAAAUUUUCAUGUUGAUGGAGGUGGGUUAUGUGGACAACUGAUUUCUCCACGUUGUUAGUAGCUGUUUGGUGCUCCCCAGGCACUCCUUUCCUGAGCUUAUUAAUCUGAUUAUUUUGGCUUCCAGGCUAUUCUUCACUCUAUCCCCAAGCCAUGGGCAUCUCCUCUCAUCCUCUCAUCCUCUGUCCCCACCCAUCACUGCACUGCUCCUGCAUCUUCAGGAGAGGAAGAAGUGCACCCUCCACUCCCCCCACCCCAUGCCAGCUCAAAAUAUGUGACGUCUCUGGCUCUCAGCCUUUAGUUCUCUUGGCCAGAAAGACAAGGCCAAGCCAAUCGGCAUGAAGUUGGGUGUGGAAAGUUCUAGUUGCAAGUACAUAGGACAUAAUAUAUUGCCUGCCAG
ensembl:lncRNA